rnacentral:rRNA from 1 species
CAGUAGCGCGGUAAUACGUAGGGUGCGAGCGUUAAUCGGAAUUACUGGGCGUAAAGCGUGCGCAGGCGGUUUUGUAAGACAGGCGUGAAAUCCCCGGGCUCAACCUGGGAAUGGCGCUUGUGACUGCAAAGCUAGAGUGCGGCAGAGGGGGAUGGAAUUCCGCGUGUAGCAGUGAAAUGCGUAGAUAUGCGGAGGAACACCGAUGGCGAAGGCAAUCCCCUGGGCCUGCACUGACGCUCAUGCACGAAAGCGUGGGGAGCGAACAGGAUUAGAUACCCGAGUAGUCCCUGUCUCUUAUACA